UACAGAGGUCUCGAGCGUUGUUCGGAUUCAUUGGGCGUAAAGGGUGCGUAGGUGGCGCUGUAAGUCGGGUGUGAAAUCCUGAGGCUUAACCUCGGAACUGCAUUCGAUACUGCGGUGCUUUGAGGACUGGAGAGGAGACUGGAAUUCAUGGUGUAGCAGUGAAAUGCGUAGAGAUCAUGAGGAAGACCAGUGGCGAAGGCGGGUCUCUGGACAGUUCCUGACACUGAGGCACGAAGGCCAGGGGAGCAAACGGG
rnacentral:rRNA from 1 species